rnacentral:lncRNA from 10 species
CAGGCCUCACCCAGCUCCCACACAGCCUGCAUCCUGAAAGGCUGGUCUCACUCCUACUGUGCUCCUGCAACAGCACCAAGUAUAUUUCCAGGCAACUGGUGAGCAGGGCUGAGAACUUGCCCCAGACCACAAGUCUCCCAGCUGAGAAAGCACAGCUCCUCAGUUGUCCCACAGAGCCUGCAGUGGCAAUCCACCUCCUUCAAAAGUUCUGUGAAUUCUCUCAGCUUUCCUGGACAGGCUAGAUGCUGACAGCUUGAUCUUGGACCUCAAGUUUUCCGAAUUGUGAUAAAUAGAUGUUUAUAAUAAAGCCACCCAGUCUGUGGUAUCUUGUUGUGAUAGCUGGACCUGACUAAUACACAGGGCAUGUGGCAAGUUUAAGGGGAAGAUGUCUUUCUGAAACAUUUGAAUCAAUCAGAAGUUCUUUUGGAACAACUAAGGAAAGAUGUCAGCUUGCUGCCUCAAAAUGCUGUUUGAUGACACUGGUUUAGAAAAUAGAAAACAGAUUUUUCUUUUCUCCGAAGAAAUAGAAAACUUUCCUCUGUACUCCAAGGGAUAUACAGGAAGAAUAGAAAUAUGAAUUUGAACUGUGACUAAGAGUCAGCAUGUACUUUCCCUUCUCUGGAAAAAGAAAAGAAAAAAGCUGGAGAAGUAAAGCUCAGAAGCACGGUUGGGUAUGGCUGAGUUAAGUAGACUACAUGAAAAAUAAACAGUCAACAAUCUUACAGAGAAAAUGAAUUUUGCUCUUUGAUGUAAGAAAAAGCCCACUCACCUUUAUUUUUAAAAUGUCCUGAGUUGAGGUAAACAAUAUCUAUUUUUGCUAUUAAAAAAUUCUAUUUCUGUCUGAUAUUUUUCCCAAUUGAUAGAAAUCAGAAGAACACUCCUAGAGAAAUUAACACUAAAAUGCAAAAGCACUGUAAUAGCUCCUCUUUGAUAUUAUGAAUUGACUUUAACCUGAUUUGCUCUCUAAAUUUCUUAGGUUAUUUCUGAAUUUUGUUUAUAGUUUAUUAGCAUGUUAAAUAUUUUUUGUGGUUUUGAUUUGCAUACAUAUACAAUAUUUUGGUUAUAUUAAAAAUAAAAUAACUGGUAUGUGUUUCCUACCUCCUGAUU